UGAAUUAUACACGUGCCAUUUUAUAACGUAUUUGUAUUCUCGGUUAGGAUAUGAAAAACAAUGAGUUUUUGUUUAAUUUUUUGUGCCUCGAGUUUUAACAGUACUAAAGGAUUUUCUCAAGAUAUGAUAUAGAAGUGCGAAUUUGGUGCGAUUAGCCGUUGCGACAGUUUUUUUUAUUUAAUUAAAUUAUUUUGUGAAAAAAGUUAUUUGUGAAAUUAAUAGUGAUGUUGUUAAGGACAGUUUGUUUCAUCGGAACCGUGCUUGUGCUUUAUUUGCAGUAUGCAACAGGCAGUCCGUUCAUUUCGACCCUAACUGGUGUUACGAGCGGCGGUGCAGCCACUGUCACGUGGAGCGCCCCGCCGGAUGAAUGGGACUGGCGAAAUGCUCCGCGCGAUCACCAGCCCGCUCUCGUACCCGCAAAUCGGACGCGGGAUUGGCUGGAACUCGUCAACAGAUUUAAUGAUACUUCACAAUCACGACGCUUGUGGGGUAUGGAUGCAAUGAUGACGCUGUCCAAUGCCGAUAAGCAAUCAUCAAAUCUGCCGCUAUUUGUGGACAAAGCUUUGAAGCUAUUCAAUUUGCGGCAAGUCGCCCUGGAGCUUGAAACCUCCGUUAUGAGCAAAGUUUCAUGCACAGCAUGCAAAGCUGGAGCUGGUUUGUUGCAGCAUUACAUACGCACUGGGAAGUCGAAAGAGGAAAUAAUUAAGAUGAUUUACCAGUUCUGCGUCUCGCUCAAGAUACAGACGGCGCGAGUUUGCGAAGGCGUCAGUCAGCUGUUCGGGGGUGAAGUCAUCUAUGUCCUGGAACGUGUGAGUAUUGGCCCCGAUGAGAUUUGUUCAUUUGUAAUUGGCGACGCUUGCGGAGAUGUCUACAACCCUUACCACGAAUGGGAAGUCGCUUUUCCUCCAGUUCCAAAACCAUCGCCCGAUAGCUCUGCAGAUGCUAAUCAGCAAAUACCAAAACCUGGUGCACCCGCUUUUAAGGUUCUUCAUAUAUCAGAUACGCAUUACGAUCCCUAUUAUGCUGAAGGUUCAAAUGCCGAUUGCAACGAGCCGCUCUGUUGCCGUCUAACCAAUGGGCCGUCGCUGACACCCGGCGGAGGCGCUGGUCGAUGGGGCGAUUACCGAAAGUGCGAUACGCCGAAAAGAACGGUUGAUCAUAUGCUGAAACACAUUACGGAAACGCAUCAGGAUAUCGAUUAUAUUUUGUGGACAGGAGAUUUGCCGCCCCAUGAUGUCUGGAAUCAGACCAGAGAAGAAAAUCUGAAAAUUCUCAAAGAAACUGUUAAGCAGAUGUCAGAUGUAUUUCCCGGAAUUCCUAUAUUUCCCGCACUAGGAAAUCACGAAUCAGCUCCAGUAAACAGCUUUCCACCUCCGUAUGUGCGACAGCGGGACUCGGCGAUCGCCUGGCUUUACGACGAACUAGACGCCCAGUGGCGCCGGUGGCUUCCUGCGAGCGUUUCACAUACCGUACGUCGCGGCGCCUUCUAUUCAGUUCUUGUUCGACCUGGUUUCCGUGUGAUUUCUCUUAACAUGAACUAUUGCAACAACAAGAAUUGGUGGUUACUUCUAAAUUCUACUGAUCCAGCCACAGAACUACAAUGGUUCAUCUAUGAGUUACAAUCUGCCGAAUUCUCGGGCGAGAAGGUACACAUCAUUGGUCAUAUCCCACCGGGCCAUGCUGACUGCUUGAAAGUGUGGAGUAGAAAUUAUUACAAAAUCAUCGCGAGAUACGAGCACACAAUAACUGCGCAAUUUUUUGGUCAUACUCAUUUUGAUGAAUUUGAAGUUUUUUAUGACCCUAAAGAUUUGUCGCGAGCUGUUAGUGUCGCCUACGUUGGACCAUCUGUUUCACCAUAUUAUGAUUUAAAUCCCGGAUACAGAAUAUAUUAUGUGGAUGGUGAUCACGACGAUACAACUAGAACUGUCGUAGAUCAUGAAUCAUGGAUAAUGAAUUUAAAAGAAGCCAAUUUAUAUGAUUAUCCUAUUUGGUACAAGUUAUAUUCAGCCAGAUCUGCUUACGAUAUGCAAGCACUAAGGCCGAAGGACUGGGAUGAACUGGUUGCCAAAUUGGCAGCUGAUCAGACGCUAUUUGACAGUUACUACAAGAAUUAUUGGAAAAACUCUCCAGUUAGACCUCAAUGUGAUACUGCAUGCAGAACGAGAGUACUUUGUGAUGCAAAAUCAGGAAGAUCCCAUGACAGGCGAGCACUGUGUACUGAUGUGGAAUCGCGUAUAGCUGGUAACUCAGGCGGUGUUGUAGCUGGAAGCUCCGGCGGCUGGAGGGAUUGGAUUUAUCGUGGAUUUUCGGCAUCAACUACUACUACAAGCGAUGAGUGGUCUUGGUGGUAGAAAUUUAUAAAUGAGAUCGUUACCGGAACUUGCCAUGUAAAUCUUAUGAAUUUACACAAGAAUUCAGAUUUUUUCAUUAUGAUUAAGAAUGUCAGUGAUCAUGUCAAUACCACAUUUCACUUAUCAAAUACCAAAAUUUGUUAUGGGCCUUGGAUAAUUACCAAUAUUCGGAUUGGAUACUGAUAUGAAUUUGUUUAAAUGUGGCGGUGCUAUGAUAAAAGUGCCUUACUUUAAAAGAAAACUAGUUUUAAUAUUGAACACCUGUGAUGGUAUUAUAUAAACCAAACUAAUCAUGGUGACUACAAAUACAUGUAUGCAUAAACAUAUUGCACGUGCAUUUGCAAAGAAAGGUAACUAAAAUUUAAGUAAGAAAUGGUCAACCUGGUCUACACUUAUAGUUUUGAACUACAUAAGUUUAUCGCGCUUGUUAGUCGGUUAAUCUGAAAUUUUAUUAUUUAAGUAUGAAUUUUGAAUCACUGAAGUGUUUAUAAGCAAUACGACCUUGGUUUGACCCGCUCUGUGUAAGUUGCAUUUCAUAACAAAUGUUUUUUAUAUUAUAUGAAUUAUAUAUCAGCGCGAUGUGAAUUAUUACCAGAUAGAGUAGACUAAGAGUUGAACAGAUGGAAAUGUCUAUCACUCCCAAGUACCUACAAAUAUAUAAGUAUAUAAUUUAAUGUAACCAGUGAACUCAAGUCUUGAAAAUAGAAUAUUAUUAAAUUUUCAGUAAGCAAUUAAUAUGGAAGUGUAUAAUUUAUUUUAAAACGUAGUUGACUCGUAUAUAGAAUAGUUUCUAAUAUGUUAAUGAUAACUUUGAGCAUGUGUAUAUGUUGGCUCUCUAAUUACAAUAAUUUCAAAAUUAUUCUCAUAGGAUAUUCAGGGUGACUAAGACCUUGACGUCAAGCCGAAACGGGGUGAUAGUAUUGACCUUAACAGUCUUGAAAAAAAUUAGAAAAAAAUAUUUUACGUUCUUUGGAACUUAUGAGCUAUUAAUUGCAAUUUAGAGCUUUGGUGAAAUUAUUACCAUUUUUCGCUUAUUCUGGUUAUUUUUUGCUAAUUUUGUUCUAACCGUGAAUAUUAUUUCUAGAACCACAAUCAAACUAGGACUUUCUUUAAAAAAAUAAAAUGAAGUGUUGCAGACAAGUUUCGUCAAAAGUUGGCGUAAAUGCGCCAACGUGAUCAGGAUUGUAAAAUGAUAAAAUACUUGAUAAUUGUAUUAUUGAACAAUUUUGAGUAAAAAAUAAAGACCUACGGUUCCAAAGUUUAAAUGAACAAAAUUAGUAAUAAAAAUUAACCACUAUAACCAAAAAAUGACCACAGUUUCACUAAAGCUCUAGGUUGCACUUAAAAUUUCAUAGUUUCCAAACAACGUAAGAAUUUUUUUCUAAAGUUUUUUAGGGCAGGUAAGGUCACCUCGUUUCGGCUGACAU